rnacentral:rRNA from 1 species
AAGACCUUGCGCUUUUGGAGCGGCCGAUGCCUGAUUAGCUUGUUGGUAAGGUAAAAGCUUACCAAGGCCUCGAUCAGUAGCUGGUCUGAGAGGACGACCAGCCACACUGGGACUGAGACACGGCCCAGACUCCUACGGGAGGCAGCAGUGGGGAAUUUUGGACAAUGGGGGCAACCCUGAUCCAGCCAUGCCGCGUGAGUGAAGAAGGCCUUCGGGUUGUAAAGCUCUUUCAGCCGGAACGAAACGGUUACGGAUAACACCCGUGACUACUGACGGUACCGGAAGAAGAAGCACCGGCUAACUACGUGCCAGCAGCCGCGGUAAUACGUAGGGUGCGAGCGUUAAUCGGAAUUACUGGGCGUAAAGCGUGCGCAGGUGGUUUUGUAAGUCAGAUGUGAAAGCCCCGGGCUCAACCUGGGAACU